UCACAUAGCAAAAUAAUCUAGAUUGUUAAAUAGGACAAGAUUUGUGAUCUAUGAAUUUUUGCUGGUUUUAAUGUAGUUAAAAUCACUAACUAAAUAUUUAGUUACUAUACAUACUGUGUAUAAACGUCCAAGUUCCAAAUUCUGAAAAUGAUUUGUAUAGGAAAAUUUCUAAAGAACAUAAAAUUAAUGCAAUAUUAUAAACAAUCACCUCUUUAAAUAAAACAGUGUGCUCUUUAAGUGUUUAUUAACAGAAUCCACAUAUAGAAAAGUACCAAAAUUGUUUAAAGAAAAAAUCCACUUUGAGUUUGCCCAAAAAUUGCCAAAUCAAAGAACAUUUUUUUAUUAAGAAAUAUUAAUAUGAAGUGCAGCACAGCCAUAACAACCGAAAUGAUUUAAAAACGCACAGUUCGUUGUUAUUCCGCCUGAUUAAUUUUAAAGCUCGGCCACGCAUUAAAACUAAAUUUAAGGUCGCUGUUCACCUUGUGAACUUACAAAUCCAUUCGGGUCGUUUCUUGCAAGAAUUCUCAAUUAAGGCACAUUUCGGAUAUUUUAAUGUGCCACGAACAUUUUUAUAUUUCAUGUUUAUGGCCCAUUAUUUUGUUCGCUCUUCUUUUUUGAUUCAAUUAAUUUUAUAGCGUACGGUAACAUUUCAUUUGAUGUCUUUAGCAAAUUUUCCAGGGAUUAUAAAAUUCAUUUAUUCAAGUUUUGCCCAACCAAUGGAAAAUUUCUAUACAGUUUUCUAUGCAUUUCAAAGUGCUUCGCGUGUUUUUGAGUGGAUUUUGAUUUUAAUCACUAGCACACCGACUGAUAAAAUGAGUACAACAUAUUCUGCCCCGAAAAUUGCCUGCAUUUUUGCAUCCCGAUUGAGGUGCCCCAUUCGGGGGUUGCAAAUAUGUAAAGUUCACAUUAUGCAUUGUGCACUCUGUUCCUGUCCGAAGCCAGGCCAGCGUAUCCUGUUCAUGUGUCUGGCGGGCGGAUUAUGCAACAUCCUGUUAAUCCUGUCACUUUAAACUUUGCACCAAGAAGCAGUUGAGUUGGGCAAAUUAGACGGGGGACCUCCGUCUGGGCAGCAGGGAGGGAUUCCAUGGGCAUACGGCCAUAUAGCCACGUAGCACGUAAGCCAAAAAACAAAACAAAAAACAGCGAAAUAUGUAAAAUCACCCGGAGGCGAACACAGCACAACAAGCGGCGGUGGUAGCGACAUGCAACAACAUGUCGCCUCGCAUACAUACUGUCGCAGAUAUACCGUUAGCCGCAGUGUUGCCUACUUUAGCGUGAAUGAAAAUUUAAUUGUGCAUCUUAAUGGAAAUCAAAAAGUUUGCUGAGAACGUAGUUUCUAAACAAUAAAUAUUCAUUGACUAAGAAAAUUGUUGCUCAGUCAGCUUUUAUCGGAUCACUACAUGUUUUAGUGCCACAUUUUUUUUUUUAUUAAAAAUAGCUAAAAUACGAAACACUUUUUCCAAUCAAAAGACCUAAUGGCCUGGAAUGGACAGAUUUGGCGUGAAAAUAGCUGAGGGGUCCGUAUUGGUUACAUUUCCACCGUGUUGUUCUGCUUGCAUCGCGCUGAAAAAGCUCUGCAGACCCCACCGAACCUCCGCCCCUGCUCCACACCCCUUCCACGCCCCUGGCAACGACAUACGACCAGCCAGCCUCACCAACACUUACAUGGCCAUUAUUCAUUUUCCAUCAAGAAUAUUUACCGCUGGGUUAAAAAUAAUAUCAGUUGUGUACAAAGCACUUUUUUUCUUAUGACUACUUUACAAUUACUGAAUAAAACACAUAAGUACAUCAAAUGAUUACUAGUUUGUUCAAGUUUUGUUAUCGUAUCUUUUUCAUUUAAUGGUUCUCAAAUCAACUAUGUACAUCAACUUCCAUGCUUACAUAGUUAUUUUCCAAGAAAAAACUUUUGAGAGGUUACUUUUUUGAUAAGCCCUUAAAUAUGCUACCAUUUUAAGUAAAAAGGCUGAAAUAUUGUGCCUCUUAACGAAAUUAAGAAUGAGAUUUAUUUUAGAAAGUGUUUCAAGAUAAUAUGUGUUUUGGUGAUAAUAAUAAUAGCUCCAUAUAGCCAUAACUCCUUUUAAAAUGAUUUUCCUGUUGGCCGUUGCAAGAAGGGUUAUCAAGAAGUUGAUAUAAUAUUUAUUAACCCCAUGCGUGGGUUCGUCGAAUUUAUAUUCGAAGCAAUUUCCAAAGAUUUCCGUUAGGGGCCAAAUGCGAAUGACUUCCAAAAUUGGUCGCAAUGAAUUAUUUAUAACCUGCUUAUUGAUUCAAAAAAAACUAACAUACACAUGUAUGUACAUAUGAAGAUAGCAACAAUCAUACAUAAAUGCAUACAUUCAUACAUACAUAUGUAUGAAACUCGGUUCAUGGACUGUCUUACAACCAAUUUAACUCGAUUAGCGACGUUUUAUUGAAGAUCCAAAAUAGAAUGGAACUGAACAAUCAACAUUGAUAAGAGAACAGGCGGUUUACUUCGGUAAUUAAGUGAAAGAUCUAAAAAUAAAAGCGUCAGAAUUAUCAAUUCUCAUGGUUUACAGUAAAUAUGAGCUACAGUAAUCACUUUUCUGUGUAACAAUGAACAUGCUUAACUGAACACUGUUUUAUAAAUUGUUAACAUUUUUGCUUAACAAUAUAAGGUGUUUCAACACUUGAAUUUGAAAUAAUAUUGGUUCCUGCUAGGCAGUGCGCACUGUAGGAACAUGAUUGCCAUACCGAAGUGCACGAAAAUUGAAUCUCAAGGCCAAGCGACGUCACGCAUUAAGAGAGCCAAG